rnacentral:rRNA from 1 species
CUGGGCUUAAAUGUAGAGUGCAUGAGUGGGAAACCAUUCUUUCCUUCGGGACUCUUUACAAGGUGCUGCAUGGUUGUCGUCAGCUCGUGCCGUGAGGUGUCGGGUUAAGUCCCAUAACGAGCGCAACCCCUACCUUUAGUUGCCAUCAGGUAAUGCUGGGGACUCUAAGAAAACUGCCCGCGCAAGCGGUGAGGAAGGUGGGGAUGACGUCAAAUCAUCACGGCCCUUACGUCCAGGGCCACACACGUGCUACAAUGGUGUUGACAGAGGGCAGCUAUACCGCGAGGUAGUGCUAAUCCCGAAACAACAUCUCAGUUCGGAUUGGAGUCUGCAACUCGACUCCAUGAAGCUGGAAUCGCUAGUAAUCGCGCAUCAGCCACGGCGCGGUGAAUACGUUCCC